rnacentral:sRNA from 1 species
AUGACGGGGUUCAGAAAGUUAAAACUUCUUCUCUGGAAGGAUUUCAUCUUAAAGUUGGUAUGGUUAUCUGUGGGAAGAUAUAAGUCCUUGGAGGGGAUUGAAUGUUUAAGUUAAAUUGGUUCAUAAUAACGGGUUAAAGAACAAUUAAGAACUUUACAUGGAAAGGGGCCCUUUUCUGCAAAUGAGUCAUGUAAUUAUUAAAGAUGACAUCAUUGUUACUGAUUUCUGGCCAUUGGAGUUACAGAAAGGCUAAAAGGAGAUGUUUCAAACUAAUUCUUACUCUGUGUUUUUCUUUUUCAUGUGUUUUGCAGGGAGACUGGAAGAAAUUAAAGUGUUCUAAAUGGAAGAGCAUUCACCACAUGUGUUCUGUUUUGGGUUGACAUUUAGCUUUUGUUUUUAUUUUAGAAACGGAAGACUCUGGUAGCAAUCCUUGAAAUCUUGAUGCCAUUGCUAUUUUCUGCAUUGUAUUGUAUCUUCGUUUUAGUAGUGCUCCAAUAAAAAGACCUGCCACUAGCUGCCAUGCAAUUGAUAUCAGUUCAUUGCCAGACUUCUACAGUUUUCCUGAAAAAUAGAUUUCAACUAGUUUAUAUCCCUUCUAAAAGUGAAACAUUGAAGGCUGUCACCGAAAUGGUGGAACGGAUCUUUGAUGUUGAGUUUGAAGGCUAUUCUUCAGUGUCUUUGUUUGAACGUUAUAUAAUUGAUGAUCCCAAAGCUUUCUACUUAUUGGCAGGAAUUGUUUUUGACCACAGCGUCAAUGACAGCAAUGGAUCUUUGCCACUUGCGGUUAAGUAUCAAUUGCGCUUCAGUUACUUUCAGAAGAAUUUUAUACCGGGGAAGAAUAUAUUUUUUCAAGAUGACAUAGAAGGCUGGUGGACAUCCUUUCUUUACCCUCCCAAUCCACGCCAAGAACCCCGGGAAUUUCCAUUUGCUGAUGGGGGAAGUCCUGGAUACAACAAAGAAGGCUUCCUGGCCAUACAGUAUGCUGUGGAUAAAGCCAUCAUGUGGUACCAUGCUCACAAUGCAAUGACCAACAUGUUUGAGAAUCUCAAUGUACUUGUGAAGAGAUUCCCAUAUGGACCCUAUAUCGAGGACAGGUUCUUCCUAGUCCUUCAGAAUGAGUUUUCUGUGUUCUUCAUACUCAGCUUCAUGUGCAUUGAGCUCGUCAUCAUCAGUUCCAUUGUACUGGAGAAAGAGAAAAGACUGAAGACACUGGGUUGCUUGGUUCAUCACGUUCUUCAUUUCUGUCUUCAUUGCUGUUUCUUUCAUUGACCAUUCUCUUCUGCACAGAGAAAUGUGGCAAUGCUUAAGAACAGUGACCCUAGUCUGAUAUUUGUUUUUCUAAUGUGUUUUGCCAUUGCCACAAUUUUCUUUGCAUUCAUGAUCAGCACAUUCUUCCAAAGAGGUCUUAUUCCCCCUACAAGUGGAUGUGCAUAUGUCAAUGGAUAUGAAAUUUCACAAGAGAUGUUUCACAUUAGGAAGAGCCUGGGCUGGUGCCCCCAACAUGAUGUCUUAUCUGAUAAGUUAACAGUAGCAGAACAUCUUUCUUUCUAUGGUCAGCUGAAGGGCCUGUCACGUCAGAAGUGCCCUGAAGUCAAGCAGGUGCUGCACAUCAUCAGCCUGGAGGACAAGUGGAACUCAGGGAGCCGCUUCCUGAGCGGGGGCAUGAGGCGCAAGCUCUCCAUCGGCAUCGCCCUCAUCGCAGGCUCCAAGGUUUGAAUCUCUAUUUACUGACUUGGAACUGAGGCAGGUAGAGCUGGGCAUCUCCAGCUUUGGGGCCUCUGUCAUGACCAUAGAGGAUGUCUUCAUAAGUCUUCUCUGCCAACAAUUUUAUGCCAUGCUCCUGAAAAAGGUCACAUAUUCUUAACACAACUGGAUGUUGAUGUUAUCAAUACAGAUCCUGGUCCCUCUGGUGAUCAUCAUGUUAAGCCUCACGUUCUUCAAUUUCAAAGAAAGAAGCAUAGAAAAUGUCCCAUUGGAGCUGACUCUGAAAACAUAUGGUCAGACCAUUGUUCCUUUCUUUAUUUCUCAGAAUUCCAGGCUGGAUCCUCAACUUUCAGAAUGCUUUGCAAAUAUGCUUAUGGUUGAGGGACAGAUUCCUCUGGAGGUCCUAGGUUCUGUAGAUGAGUUCCUAUUGAAAAAGGCAAAAGAGGAGCCUGAGGACUUUGAUAAGCUCUACUUAGUGGCAGCUUCCUUUGAAGACGUGGGAAAUCACACCAUAGUGACAGCGCUGUUCAACAACCAGGCAUACCAUUCUUCUGCCCUGGCUCUGGCGCUAUUGGACAAUUUUCUCUUGAAGUUGCUUUCUGGUGCCAGGGCUUCCAUUACCGUAGCCAACCACCCUCAACCUCAGUCAGCCAUGGAGGAUUCAGAGAAAAGGACAUUACCUUGUUAUCAACUUGCUUUUUGGAUUAGCUUUCCUGUCUAGCUCUUUUUCCAUGUUGACAGUCAGAGAGAGGCGCGUUAAGGCCAAGCUUGUCCAGUUUAUCAAUGGAGUUUAUGUGGCCACUUUCUGGCUCUCCACUCUGCUAUGGGACCUCAUCUCCUUCCUCAUCCCCAGUCUGCUGCUGGUGAUCUCAAAAUCCUUGGAUUAUACAUUCCUAAUACUUCCAGGCCACUGCCUAGGGAUGGCUUUCACCAACUUAUAUUACAACUCUGAACUACAGAGGUUUUGCAGUGUCAAGAACCUGAGUGUAUGGUGGUGGAUUGGUUACUGUCCUCAGUUUGAUGCUCUGCUGAACUUCAUGACAGGCCAUGAGAUGCUGGUCAUGUAUGCCCAGAGCGGGGGCAUCCCAGAGCACCCCAUCAGUGCUAGUGUGGACCAGAUUCUUGAGGAUUUAGUCAUGUACAUGUACGCCGACAAGCUGGUCAAGACCUACAGGGUGGUGGUAACAAGCCGAAGUUGAGCACUGGCAUUGAUCGCCCUGAUUGGAGAGCCUGCCUUCAUCUUCCUGGAUGAGCCAUCCACUGGCAUGGACCCCGUGGCCCGGCGCCUGUUCUGGAAUGCUGUGGCACAAGCCCACGAGUCUGGCAAGGCCAUCAUCAUCACCUCCCAUAGCAUGGAGGAGUGUGAGGCCCUGUGCAGCCGGCUGGCCAUCAUGGUGCAGGGGCAGUUCAAGUGCCUGGGCAGCCCCCAGCACCUCAAGAGCAAGUUCGGCAGUGGCUACUCCCUGCAGGCCAAGGUGCAGAGUGAAGGGCAGCAGGAGGUGCUGGAGGAGUUCAAGGCCUUCGUGGACCUGACCUUUCCAGGCAGCGUUCUUGAAGACAAGCACCAAGGCAUGGUCCAUUACCACCUGCUGGGCUGCAACCUCAGCUGGGCGAAGUGUUUGGCACUCUGGAGCAAGCCAAGAAGUACAUGCUGGACAACUACUCAGCAGUCAGGUCACCAUGGAGGACGUCUUCCUGAGCUUCGCCUGCCCUGUGCCCCUAGUCCAAAGUGAAGACCAACG